CAAUAGCGUAUAUUAAAGUUGUUGCAGUUAAAAAGCUCGUAGUUGGAUUUGUGGUUCGUCCCGCCGGCUGGGUCAUUGACUUUUGCUGUGCUGGUCGUCCAUCCUUGGGUGGAAUCUGCGUGGCAUUAGGUUGUCGCGCAGGGGAUGCCCAUCGUUUACUGUGAAAAAAUUAGAGUGUUCAAAGCAGGCUUAUGCCGUUGAAUAUAUUAGCAUGGAAUAAUGAUAUAGGACCUUGGUACUAUUUUGUUGGUUUGCGCACUGAGGUAAUGAUUAAUAGGGACAGUUGGGGGUAUUCGUAUUCCAUUGUAAGAGGUGAAAUUCUUGGAUUUUUGGAAGACGAACUACUGCGAAAGCAUUUACCAAGGAUGUUUUCAUUAA
rnacentral:rRNA from 1 species